GAAUUGACGGGGGCCCGCACAAGCAGUGGAGUAUGUGGUUUAAUUCGAAGCAACGCGAAGAACCUUACCAGGUCUUGACAUCCACCGAAUCCUGUAGAGAUACGGGAGUGCCCUUCGGGGAGCGGUGAGACAGGUGGUGCAUGGUUGUCGUCAGCUCGUGUCGUGAGAUGUUGGGUUAAGUCCCGCAACGAGCGCAACCCUUGUGAAUAGUUGCUACGAAAGAGCACUCUAUUCAGACCGCCGUUGACAAAACGGAGGAAGGUGGGGAUGACGUCAAAUCAUCAUGCCCCUUAUGACCUGGGCUACACACGUACUACAAUGGUCGUUAACAGAGGGAAGCAAGGCCGCGAGGUGGAACGAACCCCUAAAAACGAUCUCAGUUCAGAUUGCAGGCUGAAACUCGCCUGCAUGAAGAUGGAAUUGCUAGUAAUCGCGGAUCAGCAUGCCGCGGUGAAUACGUUCCCGGGCCUUGUACACACCGCCCGUCACACCAUGAGAGCCGGGGACACCCGAAGUCGGUUGGGUAACCGUAAGGAGCCCGCCGCCGAAGGUGGAAUCGGUAAUUGGGGUGAAGUCGUAACAAGGUAACCAAGCC
rnacentral:rRNA from 1 species